GGUCGGUUAGCUCAGCUGGUUAGAGUGUGGUGCUAAUAAUGCCAAGGUUGUGGGUUCAAUCCCCCCACUGGACCA